rnacentral:rRNA from 1 species
AUGUCGGCGUCGUCGCUAAUGGAAGACCUCGUGGAGCAAAUCCUUGUCCGCCUCCCGCCGGAAGAUCCCGCGUGCCUCGUGCGCGCGUCGCUCGUCUGCAAACCCUGGCGUCGCCUCGUCGCCGGCCCCGCCUUCCGCCGCCGGUACCGCGAGUUCCACCGGAGACCUCACCUGCUGGGCGUCCUCCAAAUCCUGCAAGGCGAUGAACCUUACUACUCCCGAUUCGUCCCCACCUCCGUCUUUCGCGUUGUGGAUCCCGUCCUUCCAUGUUGGUUGGUUGUCGACUGCCGCCACGGCCAGGCCCUCUUCGCCACCACAAACCCGCGCAUCGAGGGGACCUUGGACCUCGUCGUCUGGGAACCCAUGACGGACGACCAACGCCGUGUUCCGCAGCCCUCGCCGGAGCCGGAGGACUACGUCGACUACGCAGCGGCGGUGCUCUGUGCCGCGGAAGGCUGCGACCACUGCGGCUGCGAGGGUGGGCCCUUUCGUGUGGCCUUCGUAUCCACCGACAAGGGGAAGGGGGUGACCUCCGCCCGCCUGUACUCGUCGGAGACUGGCGCGUGGAACGACAUCACCUCUCUUCAUCACCCCGAGGCCAGUGCCCACUUUGCGGCUAGCGUCCAUGUGGGAGACGCGCUCUACUUCCGCGGCAUCGAGAAUUACACCAUCGAGUAUCAACUUACGACAGCCCGCCUGUACGUGUUGGAGGCGCUGGCCAAGUGUAAUGGGAGGCCUGGGGUUCGCCGCUGUGGAUAA